rnacentral:rRNA from 1 species
GGGUUGUGAGGUUAAGUGACUAAGCGUACACGGUGGAUGCCUAGGCAGUCAGAGGCGAUGAAGGGCGUGCUAAUCUGCGAAAAGCGUCGGUAAGGUGAUAUGAACCGUUACAACCGGCGAUACCCGAAUGGGGAAACCCAGUGUGUUUCGACACACUAUCAUGUCAUGAAUACAUAGUGGCAUGAGGCGAACCGGGGGAACUGAAACAUCUAAGUACCCCGAGGAAAAGAAAUCAACCGAGAUUCCCCCAGUAGCGGCGAGCGAACGGGGAGGAGCCCAGAACCUGAAUCGGCUUGUGUGUUAGUGGAAGCGUCUGGAAAGUCGCGCAGCAAAGGGUGAUAGCCCCGUACACUAAAAUGCACAGGUCGUGAGUUCGAUGAGUAGGGCGGGACACGUGACAUCCUGUCUGAAUAUGGGGGGACCAUCCUCCAAGGCUAAAUACUCCUGACUGACCGAUAGUGAACCAGUACCGUGAGGAAAGGCGAAAAGAACCCCGGCGAGGGAGUGAAAUAGAACCUGAAACCGUGUACGUACAAGCAGUGGGAGCACCUUCGUGGUGUGACUGCGUACCUUUUGUAUAAUGGGUCAGCGACUUAUAUUUUGUAGCAAGGUUAACCGUAUAGGGGAGCCGUAGGAAACCGAGUCUUAACUGGGCGAAUAGUUGCAAGGUAUAGACCCGAAACCCGGUGAUCUAGCCAUGGGCAGGUUGAAGGUUGGGUAACACUAACUGGAGGACCGAACCGACUAAUGUUGAAAAAUUAGCGGAUGACUUGUGGCUGGGGGUGAAAGGCCAAUCAAACCGGGAGAUAGCUGGUUCUCCCGAAAGCUAUUUAGGUAGCGCCUCGUGAACUCAUCUUCGGGGGUAGAGCACUGUUUCGGCUAGGGGGCCAUCCCGGCUUACCAAACCGAUGCAAACUCCGAAUACCGAAGAAUGUUAUCACGGGAGACACACGGCGGGUGCUAACGUCCGUCGUGAAGAGGGAAACAACCCAGACCGCCAGCUAAGGUCCCAAAGUCAUGGUUAAGUGGGAAACGAUGUGGGAAGGCAUAGACAGCCAGGAUGUUGGCUUAGAAGCAGCCAUCAUUUAAAGAAAGCGUAAUAGCUCACUGGUCGAGUCGGCCUGCGCGGAAGAUGUAACGGGGCUAAACCAUGCACCGAAGCUGCGGCAGCGACGCUUAGGCGUUGUUGGGUAGGGGAGCGUUCUGUAAGCCGUUGAAGGUGGCCUGUGAGGGUUGCUGGAGGUAUCAGAAGUGCGAAUGCUGACAUAAGUAACGAUAAAGCGGGUGAAAAGCCCGCUCGCCGGAAGACCAAGGGUUCCUGUCCAACGUUAAUCGGGGCAGGGUGAGUCGACCCCUAAGGCGAGGCUGAAAAGCGUAGUCGAUGGGAAACAGGUUAAUAUUCCUGUACUUGGUGUUACUGCGAAGGGGGGACGGAGAAGGCUAGGCUAGCCGGGCGACGGUUGUCCCGGUUUAAGCGUGUAGGGGGUGUGACCUGGUAAAUCCGGUUGCAUACUAACCCUGAGGCGUGAUGACGAUGCACUACGGUGCAGAAGUAGUUGAUGCCCUGCUUCCAGGAAAAUCCUCUAAGCUCCAGGUAACAUUAAAUCGUACCCCAAACCGACACAGGUGGUCAGGUAGAGAAUACCAAGGCGCUUGAGAGAACUCGGGUGAAGGAACUAGGCAAAAUGGUGCCGUAACUUCGGGAGAAGGCACGCUGGCAUGUAGGUGAAGUCCCUUGCGGAUGGAGCUGAAGCCAGUCGAAGAUACCAGCUGGCUGCAACUGUUUAAUAAAAACACAGCACUGUGCAAACACGAAAGUGGACGUAUACGGUGUGACGCCUGCCCGGUGCUGGAAGGUUAAUUGAUGGGGUCAGCCGCAAGGCGAAGCUCUUGAUCGAAGCCCCAGUAAACGGCGGCCGUAACUAUAACGGUCCUAAGGUAGCGAAAUUCCUUGUCGGGUAAGUUCCGACCUGCACGAAUGGCGUAAUGAUGGCCAGGCUGUCUCCACCCGAGACUCAGUGAAAUUGAACUCGCUGUGAAGAUGCAGUGUACCCGCGGCAAGACGGAAAGACCCCGUGAACCUUUACUAUAGCUUGACACUGAACAUUGAGCCUUGAUGUGUAGGAUAGGUGGGAGGCUUUGAAGCGUGGACGCCAGUCUGCGUGGAGCCAUCCUUGAAAUACCACCCUUUAAUGUUUGAUGUUCUAACUCGGCCCCAUAAUCUGGGGUGAGGACAGUGUCUGGUGGGUAGUUUGACUGGGGCGGUCUCCUCCCAAAGAGUAACGGAGGAGCACGAAGGUUAGCUAAUCACGGUCGGACAUCGUGAGGUUAGUGCAAAGGCAUAAGCUAGCUUGACUGCGAGAGUGACGGCUCGAGCAGGUACGAAAGUAGGUCUUAGUGAUCCGGUGGUUCUGAAUGGAAGGGCCAUCGCUCAACGGAUAAAAGGUACUCGGGGAUAACAGGCUGAUACCGCCCAAGAGUUCAUAUCGACGGCGGUGUUUGGCACCUCGAUGUCGGCUCAUCACAUCCUGGGGCUGAAGUAGGUCCCAAGGGUAUGGCUGUUCGCCAUUUAAAGUGGUACGCGAGCUGGGUUUAGAACGUCGUGAGACAGUUCGGUCCCUAUCUGCCGUGGGCGUUGGAAGAUUGAGAGGGGUUGCUCCUAGUACGAGAGGACCGGAGUGAACGCACCACUGGUGUUCGGGUUGUCAUGCCAAUGGCAUUGCCCGGUAGCUAAGUGCGGAAAAGAUAAGCGCUGAAAGCAUCUAAGCGCGAAACUUGCCUCAAGAUGAGUCUUCCCUGGGCCUUUAAGGCCCCUGAAGGAACGUUUAAGACUAAGACGUUGAUAGGCUGGGUGUGUAAGUGCAGCGAUGCAUUGAGCUAACCAGUACUAAUGAUCCGUGAGGCUUAACCUUACAACACCGAAGGUGUUUUAG